GAAACGUCGCGGCCUUUACGCCAUGUGGCGUGCGGCCAUUGGGACGGGUUUAUCGGAGCGGAUGGGGGUGACGUGGCUCGAUCUGAAGUAGGUGCGUUGAACCGUCGGGCCGACGGACGGCCCGGAUGAUGCCACGCGGCAGGAUCUGGGGAGUCCUCGUUGGUCAUGCCUUCAUCUCGACCGUCGGGGGGUACUAUAUAUACAGGGUCGCCCCCAUUCAGUUUUUUACCCUCCUCAUUUUACUGUCGAGACUCUGCCCGCGUG
rnacentral:lncRNA from 1 species